rnacentral:rRNA from 1 species
UACCAGCACCCCGAGUGGUCGGGACGAUUAUUGGGCCUAAAGCAUCCGUAGCCGGCCUUACAAGUCCCCCGUUAAAUCCAACUGCUUAACAGAUGGGCUGCGGAGGAUACUAUAAGACUAGGAGGCAGGAGAGGCAAGCGGUACUCAGUGGGUGAGGGGUAAAAUCCGUUGAUCCAUUCGAAGACCACCAGUGGGCGAAGGCGGCUU